CCUACGGCCGGUUGGUCGACUGUCGCGUCACGUCUACUGUGCACGCGGCAGACCAUCGGUUGCCCGGCCGGCUGCCCGGCGGUAUAGAUCGCUAUAAAACGGUACUGGGCCGCAUUAAUUGCGUUCUGGCUCGUCGACAGGCACGUCUCGCUCGGAUUUACGGACCUAGCGCCGUUGCCGGGUGCUUGGGCUGGCCGUUAGUCGACGAUGUCCUCGGACUGGCUCUUACAUUCGAACGGAUUUACCGGUCGGCGACGCUACUGCUUUGGGUACUUUCAGGACCCGUCUUGAAACACGGACCAAGGAGUCUAACAUGUGCGCGAGUCAUUGGGACUUGUUUAAGCCUAAAGGCGCAAUGAAAGUGAAGGUCGACUUUGCGUCGACCGAGGGAGGAUGACUCUCGUCACGAUGUGAGUCCGCACUCCCGGGGCGUCUCGUGCUCAUUGCGAGCAGAGGCGCACCCAGAGCGUACACGUUGGGACCCGAAAGAUGGUGAACUAUGCCUGGUCAGGACGAAGUCAGGGGAAACCCUGAUGGAGGUCCGUAGCGAUUCUGACGUGCAAAUCGAUCGUCGGAACUGGGUAUAGGGGCGAAAGACUAAUCGAACCAUCUAGUAGCUGGUUCCCUCCGAAG
rnacentral:rRNA from 1 species